UGGCUCAGUGACAGAGCACUUGCCUAGCAUGCCAGAGGCCCUGGGUUCAAUCCCCAG
rnacentral:tRNA from 1 species